rnacentral:lncRNA from 10 species
GGACACUGAAUCUAGAGAAAUGAAGAAACCCAUCCAGAAGAAUACUGCUUCUUUAUGUUUUUGUAGAGCGGCCCAGCCCUUGGAAUGUGUUUCUGCCACGACAAGGAAUACAGGAGGAGUUGAACAGGAAACCUGCCUCCUAUCAGAUUCACCUGAGGACGUGGGUUGUCACGAGCUCCCCAAACAAUAAAGCACUUUACGACAUAGGAGGCAUUAUUAUUAAGCUGUUUUCAGUCCCUGAUACCUGCAUGUUGUAGGACCAUGGUGCAUGAAGGAUUUUAAGGAGGCACUUUUGAAAUGUGAAAGGGACAUAGACUGUACAUCUGGAGCACAAAGGCAGGUUUAACCAGCUUUGUCCUGCUCGGCGCCAGUUGGAAGAGAGCAUCUGGCUUUGAAGUGUCUAAAGCCAGGCGUGACGCUGGAUUCUACAGCUGGGUUUUGCUUUGUCACCCAGGCUGGAGUGCAGUGCCAUGAUGGAGCUCAGUGCAGCCUUCAAUCCCUGGGCUCAAGGAAUCCUCUCACCUCAGCCUCCCAAAUAGCUAGGACUACAGUCCCAUGAUGAAAGCUUUCCUGGAGAAGUCCAGCUUUGAUACCUGCACUGCUGACGUCUACUCUGCUGGGAAAAAUGGCACACUGAGUCUGGAGAUAGUGAAGUGCCUUUUGUAUUCACUCCCAUCCCUCUAACUGCUCUGUUCUCCUGCCCAGUUGCUUACUCAAUAUGAGGAGCAUAGCAGCGCUAGGCUCUGGAAGAGAGUAGGCAAAUAUGGCAAUAGAAAAUGCUAACAGCAGCAGAUGGCAGGACAAGUUUCCUUUAGAUUCACAUGAGCAGUUGUUUUUUUCUGGUGGGCUUUUAUUAUUAAAUUUAUUUUCAUCAUUUGGCUAGAUAAGCCUAUCUUUGUACUUAGUUAUGGUGUGCCGGAAUCAUCUUGCUUUUAAUAUUUGAAAAAAAGAGCUGUAUAUCAUACCAAUUAUAAAUACAACUACAUGGCCUCAUGUGUAAUUGUCAACUCAGUUACAUGGAUUGUAGCCUUUGUGUUUGGAGGGAGUGAAUGCUCACUUUAUCCUAAAGAGUUGAUAGAAGCCUAAAAGCUUAGAAACUUACAAGAAAUAAUCACUUGUAUGGCUUUUCUUCAGGGGCCAAAAAAUAUUGGAACUUUACUUGAUUUCAAACAUAUUAUCCUUAUCUAAGGCCUGGAGGUCCUGGAUCUAAGCCCUAUUUUACAAGUAUUCAAAGCUGGCACUCUUUUCUUAAUGCCAUCACUUCUACCCUUGCAGAUUUUUAAUUUUUUAUUUCUAACUUUCAAUAAGAGGAAGCAAAGGUCAGCAGGUUCUUUGGAAAUUAAAUUUAAAUGAUUAUUACACCUUAAACCUGCCCUCCUGCCCCCCCAAGGAAGAAUUCUUCACCCCCAUGUUAGCAGCAGCAGCAGCAGCAUCUCCAUUAUUGCUCAUCUUCCUUCUCUGUAGCUCUUGCCAUCAGUGUUGAUUAAUUUCAUAAGUAGCAGAAAUGACAUAAUACAAUAUAUUUCUGACAAUUCCAGACCAGGAAUCCUAGACUCAUAAAAUUCCAAGGAUACAAAGGAACACCAGGAGGUCAUCUAACCCAAUCCUCUGCUUUCCAGGAAAGAAGUGUUCAAACCAUACAGAAUGAAUUUAUUUUCCAGCAAAAUAUCCUUUGUGAUGAGAGGGAUAGUGAAAGAAUAAUGGACAUAAACAGGAAGUUAAAAUGAAAUGACUCUUCUCUUUUCACAGGAUCUCUAGUUAGUAGUAAAGGACCAUGAGUGCUGGGGAAAAAGGCCAUCAUAGAUAAUUUUGUGAACCCAGUGAUAAUCUUUCUAUUGAAGAGAGAUGUGCCGUGAACCUGAUUAUUUUUCAAAGAACUGUCAUUUUCCCAAGAGCUGGCAUUUUCAGCCUCUUGAAGAGCACCAACCACUGUUAUCACAGCUCAAACUUGAGCAAUCAAUCAGGGGUUUGAAACAUUAAACUGGAAUAUAUAAUUUCAACAGGGAUAAUUUUAGCAAAAUUCAUCCUGAGCUAAAACAGCUUUAGUUAGCCCAGCUUCAACAAGGGGGCCAUUGCCUGGCUUUUCUUGGCACUGGCAGCCCCUCCCUGCACUCACCCCACCUCCUCUACAGCCAGAGGAAAGGACACAGCAGGCCAUGGGUUUAUAAUAAGAUUUGGAGGGGCUGAGCUUGGCUGAUUUACCAGGAGGUAGGUUGAUGCCCAAGACGGUGCCCACUGGGAAGCUGCAAGUUGUGAGUAGGGGGAUAACAGCUUGAGAAGUACCAUUAAAUGUCUUCCCAUACAUUUGCCCACAGUAGAAUUUUUCUUCCACAGAAAACACUUUGACAUUCUAUUGGAAUGGAAAGCAAGAGUUUAUAAGCAUUUUACAAUGUCAGGAUUUUUACUAGUCAAUCUACAAAUAGGUAGCAUUUUGCCUCUUUGCUCUUCCCUCUCCUGCUUGCACACUAUGUUCCUGAGGACUUUUCCUCUCUCUGGCAAGAGGCUACCAAAGAAGCUGGCUCAGCCCCUCCCAAUACUCCAGAUUCAACAGGCAGCUGUAGUCAGACUCAGUCAAACCAAAGAACUUGCUUAAUUGGUGAUUUCUGCUGAUGUCAGUGGUGGUGGUGAUAAGGAUAAUAUUGGGAAUAAUGAUGAUGCUAGAUGACAAAGGUCAUGGGUUUGAAGGAAGAGUGGUGUUUUUGCUGGUUUUAAAGUUUCUACACACUUAAUUACAAUUUAGGAUUUUCAUGCUGAGUGUGAAUCAGGGUUCAGUUAAACAAAUCAGGAUUGUUAGGUAAUGACAGGAGACAAUGGGUAGAAGUCAUCUGAAGCACCUUGAGAGAAAGAGGGCUGAGGAAGUAAAGCAGUUUAUGCAAUAUCCACUAUGCGCCAAGCUUGCUUAUUCUUGCUCUCUCCCUCUCACCACUCUGUAUAGGGUUAUAUAGGCAAAAGGCAGUAAAAAGACACCUAAAGACAUAGAGCCUUUAAUGACACUAUUUAGGCUGUUGAUUAAAUGCUCUGAAACUCACUGUGUCUUUGGGCUAUUACAUGAGUUAAAUAUCCCCUGUGUAUUUUAACCCAAAGGUCAUAUUUUAUAAAUGAUAAAAACUGAGAUUUUUUAAGCCAGGUCUUUGACUUCGGGAUGCAAUCCCUUUUUAUGAGAGCAAACGCUCUCCUAAGUGAUUAAAAUAGUUAAAUUUUAUGUACAAUGCAAUACACAGACACACACACAUAUAUAUGUAGAUCACUGCAUUUAAUCAUUUCAUUAUCAUAAUAAGUUUAGAACUGGUAUCAUUUUUAUUUUACAUACAAUAAGUGUGAACAAGAGAAGUUAAUUAAUUUGAAAUGAUUGUUAGUUGCAGGGCCAAGCACUUACAAGGAUUGAACACUAGUGUCAGGGUUGGUCCUUGAAAGAUCCAUGCCAGUCAGGACAUGCCCUUCACCUUAGUGACUGAUUUUGGUGACCCAGAUCUAAGGCACUCAUGGCAUUCCCCUUGGCCUCAGAGAGUGGUUCAAGAAUAGGCAAAUGGUCCAUUUAAGCAGGAAAAACCACAGAGAGAGGCCUGUUUGGGAGGUUCUCAGAAAGAAGCAUCUCCAUUUCUCUGCAAUACUCAGGUGUGAUAUGCAGAUGUGAAGCCUGAAACUAAUGCAGCCAUUUGAUCUUAUAAGAUAAACCCAACUGGCAAUGAAACUGACACUGCAGAAGGCAGAGAAACGAGACCUAAAGACAUAGAGCCUUUAAUGACACCAUUUAGGCUCUUGAUUAAAUGCUCUGAUUCUCACUGUGUCUCUGGAUUUUCCAUUACAUGAAUUAAAUAUCUCCUGUAUAGUUUAACCCAAAGGUCAUAAAACUUGUAAAUGGUAAAACUGAGAUUCUAAGCCAUGUCUUUGACUUCAGGAUCCAAUCACUUUUCUAUGACUGCAAAUGCUCUCCUAAGCGAUUAAAAUAAUUAAAUUUUAUGCACAAUGCGAUAGAAAAUUAACUUCAGCUCCUCAGCAGGGAAGUAAUCUGAUCAAAACAAUGGGUGAGACAGAUGGCCCUGAUUUGGGUGUUCAGAGUUAACUGGGGAAGGACAGGAAGGAAGGUAGAGGAAUUAUCUUAAAGUCAUUGUUGCAGUGUUCUGGGGAUUUGCUACAACAAAUUCAUGUGUGUCUUCAAUAAGUAUUUGAGCACUUACCCUGUGCUAGAUACUAAGAAUAUAGUGUGACAAAAUAGACAUGCUCCCUGCUUAUAUGAAGUUAUAGUCAGUCUGGAGCAGUGGUUGUCAAACCAUGACCCUUGAGCCAAAUAC